UUCAGAGUUUUGAUUCAUGGCUCAGGAUGAACGCUGGCGGCGUGCCUAAUACAUGCAAGUCGAGCGAACUGACGAGGAGCUUGCUCCUUUGACGUUAGCGGCGGACGGGUGAGUAACACGUGGGUAACCUACCUAUAAGACUGGAAUAACUCCGGGAAACCGGGGCUAAUGCCGGAUAACAUGUUGAACCGCAUGGUUCAACAGUGAAAGACGGUCUUGCUGUCACUUAUAGAUGGACCCGCGCCGUAUUAGCUAGUUGGUAAGGUAACGGCUUACCAAGGCGACGAUACGUAGCCGACCUGAGAGGGUGAUCGGCCACACUGGAACUGAGACACGGUCCAGACUCCUACGGGAGGCAGCAGUAGGGAAUCUUCCGCAAUGGGCGAAAGCCUGACGGAGCAACGCCGCGUGAGUGAUGAAGGUCUUCGGAUCGUAAAGCUCUGUUGUUAGGGAAGAACAUAUGUGUAAGUAACUGUGCACAUCUUGACGGUACCUAACCAGAAAGCCACGGCUAACUACGUGCCAGCAGCCGCGGUAAUACGUAGGUGGCAAGCGUUAUCCGGAAUUAUUGGGCGUAAAGCGCGCGUAGGCGGUUUUUUAAGUCUGAUGUGAAAGCCCACGGCUCAACCGUGGAGGGUCAUUGGAAACUGGAAAACUUGAGUGCAGAAGAGGAAAGUGGAAUUCCAUGUGUAGCGGUGAAAUGCGCAGAGAUAUGGAGGAACACCAGUGGCGAAGGCGGCUUUCUGGUCUGUAACUGACGCUGAGGUGCGAAAGCGUGGGGAUCAAACAGGAUUAGAUACCCUGGUAGUCCACGCCGUAAACGAUGAGUGCUAAGUGUUAGGGGGUUUCCGCCCCUUAGUGCUGCAGCUAACGCAUAAGCACUCCGCCUGGGGAGGAAG
rnacentral:rRNA from 1 species